rnacentral:snRNA from 1 species
GUGCUCACUUUGGCAGCACAUAUACUACAACUGGAACAAUACAGAGAAGCUUAGCAUGCCCCCUGCUCAAUUAGAAUACUUUUAUAAGGGAGUACAAGACCCUACCA